UUCCUCAGACCUGUGGUGGUAUUUGGACCCAUCGCAGACGUGGCACGAGAGAAAAUCUCCCGGGAGGAGCCUGAUCUGUUUGAACUUGCAAAGAGUGAACCCAGAGACGCAGGGACAGACCAGCGUAGUUCAGGCAUCAUCCGUCUCCACACCAUCAAGCAAAUCAUCGACAGAGAUAAACAUGCCGUCCUGGACAUCACCCCCAACGCGGUGGACCGUCUCAACUACGCCCAGUGGUAUCCCAUCGUGGUGUUCCUCAACCCGGACAGC